rnacentral:rRNA from 1 species
AGUGAACGCUGGCGGUAGGCCUAACACAUGCAAGUCGAACGGCAGCACAGUAAGAGCUUGCUCUUACGGGUGGCGAGUGGCGGACGGGUGAGGAAUACAUCGGAAUCUACUUUUUCGUGGGGGAUAACGUAGGGAAACUUAUGCUAAUACCGCAUACGACCUACGGGUGAAAGCAGGGGAUCUUCGGACCUUGCGCGAUUGAAUGAGCCGAUGUCGGAUUAGCUAGUUGGCGGGGUAAAGGCCCACCAAGGCGACGAUCCGUAGCUGGUCUGAGAGGAUGAUCAGCCACACUGGAACUGAGACACGGUCCAGACUCCCACGGGAGGCAGCAGUGGGGAAUAUUGGACAAUGGGCGCAAGCCUGAUCCAGCCAUACCGCGUGGGUGAAGAAGGCCUUCGGGUUGUAAAGCCCUUUUGUUGGGAAAGAAAAGCAGCAGGUUAAUACCCCGCUGUUCUGACGGUACCCAAAGAAUAAGCACCGGCUAACUUCGUG